rnacentral:rRNA from 1 species
CCUACGGGUGGCAGCAGUGAGGAAUAUUGGUCAAUGGGCGGGAGCCUGAACCAGCCAAGUCGCGUGAGGGAAGAAGGUCCUAUGGAUUGUAAACCUCUUUAGGCGGGGAGCAAUGCCGGGCACGCAUGCCCGGAGGGAGAGUACCCGCAGAAUAAGCAUCGGCUAACUUCGUGCCAGAGGCGGCGGUAAUCCGGAGGAUGCGAGCGUUAUCCGGCUUUGUUGGGUUUAAAGGGUGCGUAGGCGGAUUUUUAAGUCAGCGGUAAAAGCUCCGGGCUCAACCCAGAACGGCCGUUGAAACUGGGGAUCUUGAGUGGGCGAGAAGUAGGCGGAAUGCGUGGUGUAGCGGUGAAAUGCAUAGAUAUCACGAAGAACUCCGAUUGCGAAGGCAGCCUACCGGCGCCCGACUGACGCUGAGGCACGAAAGCGUGGGGAUCGAACAGGAUUAGAUACCCCUGUAGUC